rnacentral:rRNA from 1 species
UACGGGAGGCAGCAGUGGGGAAUAUUGGACAAUGGAGGCAACUCUGAUCCAGCAAUGCCGCGUGUGUGAUGAAGGCCUUAGGGUUGUAAAGCACUUUCAAUGGCGAAGAUGAUGACGGUAGCCGUAGAAGAAGCCCCGGCUAACUUCGUGCCAGCAGCCGCGGUAAU